CUAUUGUUAUAUCUUUAACCCAAUCAGCAGCUUGUUUGUGUUUCUUAGCCUAGGCCUAAAUUUUCUUCCCUUCCACCAUAAGUAACCAGGGGACUCUAUACAAUUACAAGGCCAUGGAUCAAGUGGUCAAAUCAACAUUGCUUUAUUCCUUUUCAAAGGUUGAUGUUUCGUUGCACUAUAAAGAAACAGAGAGAGGCUAACAUGUCACGCACACAAAUCAAUACUGUCUUCAUUUCACAUAUCAGCGUGUGCCACAUUAACCUAUGAGUCUAUGACCCCUACUCUUUGUUCUCUACCUUUGUUGAAUAUAAAUACUAGCAUGUCGUGUUCAACAAUAUCAACAUGGUAGCUAGUGUUGAAGGAGUAAAUAAAGUGAAAGAAUAUGAAUAAACUGGCUUAACAUGAAGGUGGUGGUGGGGUUUCUUAGAGUGAUUCUUUGCUUAAUCUUGCUCAGUCAGUAUCAAACAUUUUCUGUUAGACAGCUCCACCAUUCAGGUUCAAAAGGACUGCAUGAGCAUGAUCAGCAGCAACACAUGAAAGGGAAAAACCAUGUUCCUGGAUGGUGGCAUGUGGAUUAUUCUCUGCCUCACAGACGAAGGCCUGUGCAUAAUAAGUUGGAGCCCUAAUAAUGAUGUUUAUGUUUUUUUCAGCCUAAAAUGUUGUAGGAGAUGUAAUUAGUGUCUAUUUUAUAUAUAUGCAGCUGUAAUGUUAUCUACCUAAACAAUAACUCUAAUUUAGAUGCCUCUUGACAUCAUGAA